AUUGAACGCUGGCGGCAUGCCUAACACAUGCAAGUCGAACGGCAGCACGGCAGUAGCAAUACUGUGGGUGGCGAGUGGCGGACGGGUGAGGAAUACGUCGGAAUCUGCCCAGUCGUGGGGGAUAACUAGCCGAAAGGUUAGCUAGUACCGCAUACGACCGAGAGGUGAAAGCGGGGGACCGCAAGGCCUCGCGCGAUUGGAUGAGCCGACGUCGGAUUAGCUAGUUGGCGGGGUAAAGGCCCACCAAGGCGACGAUCCGUAGCUGGUCUGAGAGGAUGAUCAGCCACACUGGAGCUGAGACACGGUCCAGACUCCUACGGGAGGCAGCAGUGGGGAAUAUUGGACAAUGGGCGCAAGCCUGAUCCAGCAAUGCCGCGUGUGUGAAGAAGGCCUUCGGGUUGUAAAGCACUUUUAUCAGGAACGAAAAGCGUUGGAUUAAUACUCUGACGUGCUGACGGUACCUGAGGAAUAAGCACCGGCUAACUUCGUGCCAGCCGCCGCCGUAACAC
rnacentral:rRNA from 1 species